rnacentral:rRNA from 1 species
UACGGAGGGGGCUAGCGUUGUUCGGAAUUACUGGGCGUAAAGCGCACGUAGGCGGCUUUGUAAGUUAGAGGUGAAAGCCCGGGGCUCAACUCCGGAAUUGCCUUUAAGACUGCAUCGCUAGAAUUGUGGAGAGGUAAGUGGAAUUCCGAGUGUAGAGGUGAAAUUCGUAGAUAUUCGCAAGAACACCAGUGGCGAAGGCGGCUCACUGGCCCGAUACUGACGCUGAGGCACGAAAGCGUGGGGAGCAAACGGG